rnacentral:tRNA from 2 species
GGUCCCGUAGCUCAGCAGGAUAGAGCGGCGGUUUCCUAAACCGUAGGUCGGAUGUUCGAGUCAUCCCGGGAUCGCCA